GCCUGUGAUGAUUUUAUGGUAUCACCUGAAAUGCAAUAUCUUGUAUUUAUCUGAUGAAAUUUUUUGAACUAGGACGGUCUGAGGC